rnacentral:lncRNA from 1 species
AUAGAAUUCAGCAGUGAAGCCACCAGGACCCAGGAUUUUCUUUGUUGCCUGUGUGUGAGAAGCUCCUGAAGAUGUUAAAUAGCCUGAAGCUUUUGUCUCAUCUCAACUCAACUGAGUCAAAACAUCUGGGAGUAGAACAGAGUCACGAAGCGUGUGAAGAAAACUUUAAAUGUGAAAGAAAGAAAACUAAAUAAAUAAAAAACGAAGAUAUGGCAUUCACAGAAGCAAUCCAGACUCCAAAGUCUUUAGUAAAUUUAAGAAGGUAAACAUACUGGAGUCGUGCAGAAAACACCGAAUCAGCCCGGUGCAGACAGG